GCAAGACAAAGCUUCACCAAGGACAGAUUCUGCCUGACCAAUCUGGGCCUUCAGUGGUAGAGUGACUGUAUCAGGUGACAAGACUGACCUGUCACCUAGGUGGACUUCUGCAAGGCCUUUGACAGUCCCACAUGACAACCAGAUCUCUCAAAAUUGGAUGUGAAGGGCAGACCUUUCAGUGGGCAAGGACUUGGCUUAAAAAAAAAAAAAAAAAAAAAGGCAGGGGAUCAUCCCUCUUGCCCUUGUGAGGCCCCACUUGGAGUAUUGCGUCCAGCUUUUAGAUCCCCAACACCAGAAGGAUGCAAGGAUAUUAGAGUGAGUCCAGAGAAGGGCCGCAAAGAUUCUCAAAGAACUGGAGACCUCUCCCAUGAAGAAAAGGAUGCUUUCAGUAAGCAUGCAGAGUCUCUUCCCUGGACUGCACCUGGAUUGCCCAGAAUUCAUAUUCUUGAAAGCGAAGCCUUCAAACAUCAUAGACCUGCCCCAUCCCACAUGCGUAACCUGAUCUCUGAAGACACAGUUGUUGCCUUCUUCUGUAAAAACAACUGUGUCAAAGACAUGAUACCAAAACAUCAAGAGGGGAGUUAAUCUCAGCAGUUACUUAUUUUUCCUGAAGUAUUCAUACACUGAUAUGUUGUCUUUAUUAAAAUUAUACAUAAUGUUUGUAGUGGGGUAUUUAAAAUCCUCAUCACUCAACACAGAUAAGAGUUGGCUGGUUUUCAAAUCAUUAUUUGAGGCCUUUGCACAUGGCCCUGGAUAUUGCUACUUUGAUAAGUCUUUUUUGCUUCUUCCAACAAUUGUUCUUAGAAAGCUUCCUUUGUGCUAUCAUACCUCACUGAGAGAAAAGACCUUUUUUUCUUCACCCCUCUAGCAAGAGGGAAGUGAAAGGAGAGAAAAAGAAUAUCUCAAGCAAGGCAGGGGAAAUUAUCAAGAAUGAUUGGGUAGCAAUUA